ensembl:lncRNA LINC00644 long intergenic non-protein coding RNA 644
GGUGAAGAAAAGCAAAAGUGCAGAAAACCAUCUUUUCGAAAGAGCUUUCCAUCAUUCAGGCAACAGGUCACUCAGUGAAGAAACUGUGCCAGGAGACUGGGAAUAUCUUCUAAAUCCUUAAGCAAACUGUGCUGAAAACAAACUGCUGAAAGAAAAUAAGCAUUUGACUUUAAAACGAUGCCUCUGGAAAAAAGGGACAUGCAGCAGCUGCCAGAUGUUCAUGAUCCCACCUCCCCUACUUAACAAAGGCACCUAUAUUUCACCAGAAAUAAAAUUUUAUUAGUAACAUGUCAAA